rnacentral:rRNA from 1 species
CCUAACACAUGCAAGUCGAGCGGAAACGACACUAACAAUCCUUNGGGUGCGUUAAUGGGCGUCGAGCGGCGGACGGGUGAGUAAUGCCUAGGAAAUUGCCUUGAUGUGGGGGAUAACCAUUGGAAACGAUGGCUAAUACCGCAUAAUGCCUACGGGCCAAAGAGGGGGAUCUUCGGACCUCUCGCGUCAAGAUAUGCCUAGGUGGGAUUAGCUAGUUGGUGAGGUAAUGGCUCACCAAGGCGACGAUCCCUAGCUGGUCUGAGAGGAUGAUCAGCCACACUGGAACUGAGACACGGUCCAGACUCCUACGGGAGGCAGCAGUGGGGAAUAUUGCACAAUGGGCGAAAGCCUGAUGCAGCCAUGCCGCGUGUAUGAAGAAGGCCUUCGGGUUGUAAAGUACUUUCAGUUGUGAGGAAGGGGGUAACGUUAAUAGCGUUAUCUCUUGACGUUAGCAACAGAAGAAGCACCGGCUAACUCCGUGCCAGCAGCCGCGGUAAUAC